AUUGAACGCUGGCGGCAUGCCUUACACAUGCAAGUCGAACGGUAACAGGUCUUCGGAUGCUGACGAGUGGCGAACGGGUGAGUAAUACAUCGGAACGUGCCUAGUAGUGGGGGAUAACUACUCGAAAGAGUGGCUAAUACCGCAUGAGAUCUACGGAUGAAAGCAGGGGAUCGCAAGACCUUGUGCUACUAGAGCGGCCGAUGGCAGAUUAGGUAGUUGGUGGGAUAAAAGCUUACCAAGCCGACGAUCUGUAGCUGGUCUGAGAGGACGAUCAGCCACAGUGGGACUGAGACAGGGCCCAGACUCCUACGGGAGGAAGCAGUGGGGAAUUUUGGACAAUGGGCGAAAGCCUGAUUCAGCAAUGCCGCGUGCAGGAUGAAGGCCUUCGGGUUGUAAACUGCUUUUGUACGGAACGAAAAGCCCCGGGUUAAUACCCUGGGGUCAUGACGGUACCGUAAGAAUAAGCACCGGCUAACUACGUGCCAGCCGCCGCCGUAA
rnacentral:rRNA from 1 species